rnacentral:sRNA from 1 species
AUGUGAAAUAUCCCGCUUCGCGGGAUGUGAAAUAUUUGCCUUCGGCAAAUGUGAAAUGUUCGUCUGGCGACGAACAUGAUAUAUACA